GGCGUCACAGGCUGCAGUGAUCCAUGGGAGCCAGUGCCUGCUUCUACUAUUCGUGUAGCAGCAGGAAAAGCAAGUACCAAUUACAUCAGUAAUGCUGACAAAGACAUCAUCAGAUAUUUCAGUUUAGACAAGAAAGCCAGAAAAGCAUACUCCCAGAGGCUCCAAGACCAGCAACAAGCAGAAAGUUUGGCUGAGACUCAGAUAAGGACAUACAUCAAUUUCAUAGGUGGCAUGAGAGGGUUUAAAAUAGGACUGAAGAAGGAUGGCAGCACUUUAGCUGUCCAAGAUGUGACUUGUACUAAGAACCUUCUCUUCCCAAACAAACUGGAUUCUGGUCUGUGCCUGUCUGGCUUUGUCAAGUAUCCACCCACCUCCAAUAAAUGGACUCAGAAUGUCACAACAAUAAGGGCUCUAAUGGUUAACACACUGAAGGCUGGAUUCAGAUGAAGAUCUGAGUAACAGGUCUUUAAUAACAUUGCCUUCAAAGUCAGCCAGCAAGAACAUCACAGGAUUGGAGCUGAUGUCUAUAUGGACACAAGAAUAGAAAAAUCCCACUGUAAUGAGUAGGAAACCCACUAGAAAUGGGAAAAAAGAAAAUGUGAUAUGCAGCACAUGUAUGAUUUGAAAGGUGAUUAUUGGGUACCUGAAGGCACAUGCAUUUGGGUACAUAAAACAUUUGUAGGAGUGAGAGUCUCCCUUUUAAGAGCAGCUCUGGCCUUGCAAUUCAAUGGCAAAAAUCAUUAUUUUCUUCCUACUUCCUUUUGAGAAAAGAAAAUCUUCAACUCAUCUCCUACUUCAAGAUCCCCUUACUGUUGUGCCUUCUAACUGUUACUUUUCUGUACAGAAAAAUUAGCCUUGUAGAAGGGCACUUUUUAAAAAGUGAAGUGUAAUUCCUUAGUACAUCGAUACUUGUUGAACUCUUGCUGGUUAUAUUGGGUGGAAAAUGAUGAUGGCCUGUACUUUAUCUCAAUGAGAGUAUGAUGAUCAAUUUAUUUUUUUGUCAAAUGCAUUCUUUACUACGUUGCAUUUUGUGUGGUUGAC
rnacentral:lncRNA from 1 species